rnacentral:rRNA from 1 species
AUGCAGCCAGAACAAAAAAAAGCUAGGAUAAAGCAAAUUGCAGCUAACCGUGAGUUGAAGCGCAACACACCAUGCAAAGAUUCAAUUGCGAUGGUUAACCCUGCAUAUAUCCCAACAGAAGAGGAAGUCAGUAAAUCUAUACGGCAAAGACUUAAUGGUUAG